GAUGAACGCUGGCGGCGUGCUUAACACAUGCAAGUCGAACGGUGAAGGCGGAGCUUGCUCUGCUGGAUCAGUGGCGAACGGGUGAGUAACACGUGAGCAAUCUGCCCCUGACUCUGGGAUAAGCGCUGGAAACGGCGUCUAAUACUGGAUACGAGCUGCGAAGGCAUCUUCAGCAGCUGGAAAGAAUUUCGGUCAGGGAUGAGCUCGCGGCCUAUCAGCUUGUUGGUGAGGUAAUGGCUCACCAAGGCGUCGACGGGUAGCCGGCCUGAGAGGGUGACCGGCCACACUGGGACUGAGACACGGCCCAGACUCCUACGGGAGGCAGCAGUGGGGAAUAUUGCACAAUGGGCGAAAGCCUGAUGCAGCAACGCCGCGUGAGGGACGACGGCCUUCGGGUUGUAAACCUCUUUUAGCAGGGAAGAAGCGAAAGUGACGGUACCUGCAGAAGAAGCGCCGGCUAACUACGUG
rnacentral:rRNA from 1 species